rnacentral:misc_RNA from 1 species
GAUGAAGAACGCAGUGAAAUGCGAUAAGUAAUGUGAAUUGCAGAAUUCAGUGAAUCAUCGAAUCUUUGAACGCAUCUUGCGCUCCUUGGUAUUCUGAGGAGCAUGCCUGUUUGAGUGUCAUUAAAUUCUCAACUACACUGACUUUGAAUUGGUGUGGCUUGGAUUUGGGUGGGAAAAUUGUUGUGGGCUUUUUGUAUAGUCUGCUCCCCUGAAAUUGAUUAGCGGUACCUUUGUGGUACUGUCUACAGGUGUGAUAAUUAUCUACAUCCUAGACAUCUGCUGGAAUGCUGCUUUCUAAACCUUACUUGUAUUGACAAUCUUGACCUCAAAUCAGGUAGGACUACCCGCUGAACUUAAGCAUAUCAAUAAGCGGAGGA